AGUUGCGAAGGCGGCUCUCUGGACUGUAACUGACGCUGAGGCACGAAAGCGUGGGGAGCAAACAGGAUUAGAUACCCUGGUAGUCCACGCUGUAAACGAUGAGUACUAGGUGUCGGGGGUUACCCCCUUCGGUGCCGCAGCUAACGCAUUAAGUACUCCGCCUGGGAAGUACGCUCGCAAGAGUGAAACGCAAAGGAAUUGACGGGGACCCGCACAAGUAGCGGAGCAUGUGGUUUAAUUCGAAGCAACGCGAAGAACCUUACCUAAGCUUGACAUCCCAAUGACAUCUCCUUAAUCGGAGAGUUCCCUUCGGGGACAUUGGUGACAGGUGGUGCAUGGUUGUCGUCAGCUCGUGUCGUGAGAUGUUGGGUUAAGUCCCGCAACGAGCGCAACCCUUGUCUUUAGUUGCCAUCAUUAAGUUGGGCAC
rnacentral:rRNA from 1 species